UUUGUGACUAUUGUGAAGGGUGUGGUUUC
rnacentral:piRNA from 1 species